rnacentral:rRNA from 1 species
AUUCCGGAAAAAAGCUGUCUAACAUCAAGCUAUACAUAAUUUAUUUAGUGCGUGAAAAGCCGCACAUAUAGAAAAAAGACGAGAAGACCCUAGAAAUUUUUUAAAAGUUCUGUAAAUCCUAUUUUGUUGGGGCGACAUAGUAACACUUAACCUACUAUAUUAACAUGCUACUUAUAAGACGUAAGAUAAAAUUACUCUAGGGAUAACAGCAUAAUUUAUUAUUAAGUUUGUGACCUCGAUGUUGGACUAGGAAAUAUUUUAU